rnacentral:lncRNA from 1 species
GUCAUUCGGGGUUCAACAGUUUAAAGUUUUACCUAAAACUCCGUAAUAUGCUUCGCUCUGUACUUUGGCUGGACCUGGGCUCAAGGCCCACUACACCGGAGCCUAGGCCUGCCCCUAAAUCCUUUUGUCACCACCAUUUCAGUUUACACAAAUACACAUUCACGUCUUGUUUGCUCGUGUAAAUUGGGUGUCACUAUACUGGUCGGACCUCGCCUCACGGUGCGCCCCUCAAAGACCGAAAAGCAUAGGGUAGCCCUCGACCUGGAAGCAGUGCCCGUUGCGGUGUGGCUGUGGCCAUGGUCCAUGGAGGAAGGGACGAAGAAGGAAGACGAAGCGCCAGCGAACGGGAGAAUUGGGUAUGUGGGCUGGAUUAUGGACUGCCCGCGCUAUGGAUAUCGAGGCCCGACCUAGAUGGGUUUUUGAGAAGUCGGAUCGGUAAAUUGAUUGGUGGUAUCUGGUCUGUUAAUCUCAGCCUUUCAUUUGCUUUAAUAAUUGUGUGGAAACAAAUUCUGGAAAGCACAUAGUCAAGUACAACAUAUAUACUCAUACCUCACAAGGGCAUGGAGCACUACCACACGUCCAUCGAUUGUAUUUCAAAGUGUAGUACACUUGUACAGUCUUCUGGCAAAAACAAAACAUGGUGAAAGACGAAAGAACGGUGAUUUUUCCGGAUCUACCCAAAAUAGACCGAAACCAUGUAUCGGAUUCACAAUAUCGACAAAUCGACCGAAAAUUAAAAAAAAAGGUGGUCUACUGAGGACAAAAAAGACUAAAAUGUUGAUUUUCUGCAACAGCCUGAAACUGGGUGUACCAGGGGUCACGAUAUUGCCAAUCGGACGAAAGAAAAUAAAAAACAUGGCAUGUCGCAUGGAAACGAAAAAAAACAUCCCAAAAUCGUGUACCAGGGUUCAAGUUAACAAAAAAUCGACCGAAAACAAAAGAAAACGUGGGUUAUGGCAUCCAAAACGGCUAAAACAGUGAUUUUUCUGCACCAGGCCGAAACCAUGUAUGGGGGUUCACGAUAUCUGAAAAACGGUCUGAAAAACAAAAACAUUUGGGUUAUAGCCCAUAGAAAUGGCCAAGACAAUCAUUUUUCUUGACAAGCAAAAAAAGACCGAAACCGUGUACCGAGAGUGACAAUAUUAGAAAAUUGGCCGAAAAAACCGAACAAACGUGGGCAAUAACACUCGAAAAUGACUAAAACGGUGAUUUUCUACACCAUCCCGAAACCAUGUGACGGGGGUCACGAUAUCGGACAAACGGUCCGAAACCGGAAACAUUUGGGCGAUAGACCAGGAAACGGCUAGUUAUUUUUCUUGACUGGCAAAAAUCAAGUCGAAAUCGAGUACCGAAAGUCACAAUAGCAAAACAUCAUCUCAAAACCCAAAACAUUGUCCAUGACAAUGAGCAGAACGGUGAUAUUUUUGCGCUGGCACUAAACGGCUUGAAAAUGUUUGCCGGUGGUCAAGAUAUGAGAAAAUCGGGUGAAAAGCAUAUAGCCCAUGAGAAUGUCCUGCAUGGGACCUAAACGGCCCGAUCGAAACCGUGUAUCGUGAAAAAAAAAACGUGCACUAUAUAAGUAGCCUACGAAAACAGUCCGGAACCCUGUACCGAGGUGAACGGUAUCGCAAAGUUGACCGAAAAAUAAAAAGAUGAGUUAGAGCUGAGAAAUCAAUCAAAAUUCACAAGCGCAAAACAGGACGAAACCGUGUGUACCUAGAGUCGCGAGCGAAUUGUCCCUAUUAAAAAAAGUCAGUGAAUAAAUCGAGUAUAAACACCGGUCCACACGAUCUUGAGGCGCGGUGUUUGUGGUUUCGUGCAAAACGAGACUCGUCUCUGGGCGGUCGAUUGCAUUGUCCACGGAAUGCAAGAGAUACUAAAAACGAGCAAGUUAUGCAUCAUGCGCAGUGUACUGGCAUUUAGGCAUGUGGAAGAGAACGUCUCCGGCUCCACAC